rnacentral:rRNA from 1 species
UACGUAGGGGGCAAGCGUUGUCCGGAAUUACUGGGCGUAAAGCGCACGUAGGUGGUUUGUUAAGCCAGCUGUGAAAUCCCCAGGCUCAACCUGGGAACUGCGUCCGAUACUGGCAGGCUUGAAUCCGGGAGAGGGAUGUGGAAUUCCAGGUGUAGCGGUGAAAUGCGUAGAUAUCUGGAGGAACACCGGUGGCGAAGGCGGCAUCCUGGACCGGUAUUGACGCUGAGGCGCGAAAGCUAGGGGAGCAAACGGG